CGCCAUUUGAGGUUCCCACAGUCAACGAAGCGAUCAAUGCUUCUCAAUGCAAGGCUCUUACCUUCUGACAACAUCGAACUCACAUUCUCCAAAGUCCGGUCUUGUCACACUACACAUCAUCUAGAAUCUAUUCAUUCCAUUCUUUCGCCGGUUUAUAAUUCUAUGAAGAUUAAUUAAUGGGAUUUUUCUUUCACAAGAGUAUAAAAACUCGAUUAGGGUUUUCAUGAGUAUAUAUAUAGUUGUCUAUUUUGGAAUAUAACUGAAUAAGUUUCUAAUAUAAUUUUCUAUAGAUAUUUUUAUUUGACAAAAUUUUCUAAUAGAUAUAUCUAUCAAAAUAAUUUUCAACUUAUAAGCAACAAAAUUAAAUUUUGUUAAUAUUGUUGCCUAUAUUAGCAUGAAUGUUGGUGAUAGUCUAUAGGCUUUGUGACCUUAUCGACACUUCCACAAGCAUUUUGGGUCUCUUGUUUUUUUUUUUUCUCUUGAGCAAAAGUAACCAGUUGUGAUUAUGCUUGGCAUUGCAGGACUUCAUUACAACCCAACAAGUAUACUAUUUGUACAUGUUCCAAGCCUUUCAAAACUCCAGCGGCAUCCCUUCUCAAUAACCUCAAGUAGCAAUUUGGAGGAAGACAAAAUAAGUGUUGUCACCAGAAGAUAAGGAACUUGGACUCAGGAGCUCUACGACCAUAUCUCUUCUUCUUCAAACGAUUCUCUCGAAGUCUCAACUGAAGGACCUUAUGGACCUACCUCUUUCGACUUCUUAAGACACGACUCUCUUAUACUAGUGAGUGGUGGAAGUGGGAUCGCUCCUUUCAUUUCAGUCAUCAGAGAUCAUUUUCCAAAGUCAAAACUCGACCACGAAGCUACCAGAUCUUCUUCUUGUUUGCUCCUUCAAACAUUACCAAGAUCUUUCCCUUUUACACCUAAUCUUCCCUCCCUCAGGCAUAUCAGUCUCAGAUAUUUCUAAGUUGAAACUUCGAAUAGAAGCCUACGUAACAAGGGAUAACGAACCGCAAACAACAACAUCCGCUGAUGGAAAUCAUGUGAAGACCAAAUGGUUCAAACCAAACAAUAAAGAUUCACCCAUCUCACCUGUUCUUGGACCCAACAACUUACUAUGGCUUGGUGUUGUGAUCUUGACAUCAUUCACAAUGUUUCUACUUCUCAUAGCCAACGUCACACGCUAUUACAUGUACCCUGUGGACCUCACAGUAAUUGUUUACAACUUCACUUACAGAUCUGUUGGGGGUGGGUCUUGAUCCUCUGGCAAGGCCCAUAAGACAAGGAAUUAGGCCCAUUUGGCUAUAAAACCCUAGACAUAUCUUUGUAUAAAUAAGGGGACACCUCUCUUUAGGAAAGAAUUCUCUUCUAUCCCAUUUUUAGAUCUAACACUUCUUACAAAGAGUUUAUGGAUUCUUAGACUUAUUUACACUUGUAAUCAUACAUGUAAAACAAUCUUUCAUCUAUAAAUUCUUUUAGACGUUUAUUUCUCAUUUGAUUCUUUAAGAUUUCUCCUAAACCUCAAGAAUCUAAUCUUUUAUUUUUGGGUUCUUUUAUUGUAUUGAUUCAAUAAAUACUACCAGCAUAAACACCAUUUUUGGAUCAAACAAUUGGCGCUAGAGAGAGGGGGUUUAAGGAGAACUAUCUUGAAAUCUAUCGAACUAGUUUGAGAGGAAAAAAAAAAAAAAAAGUCUUCUCAUGAAAGCUUGGUUUCUGAUGUCGCGAAAAGAUCCACCGAGGAGCCCAAGACACUCAGGUUGCCGUCUUGUCCAUUUGGGCUCACAAGAAUUGCAGCAAGGCCCAACACUUUAUGUGAGCUGACGCGUUGCUGAUGAAACUGGUCACGCUCAUCGCCGAAGAGAGAGGACGAUCUCAAAAACCGGCUUACGACUCCGCCGAUGAAGCAACGACCACCUACCCCGAGGCGGAGAGCUCCGACGGCUCAGGUGUGUCUGACUCUGAACCAAGACCGACAGCUCUGAGUGAGAAGAGAGAUGGCGACGACCAUGAUUAGAUCCCAGAGAAGCAGUGAUGAAAUCGUCUCAAAAAUGGCUUUGGUUAGGAAAAAGUUCGAAGCUUUCCGACAAGGAGAACACGCGGAGUUCAUCGUCUCUACUUCAAAGGUACGAGCUUUCCGGCAAACCAUGGUGGUCUCUUGAUUAUCUUCUCUAGAAAGACUCUGUUCUCGGUGUUGUUUCCACCAUGGCUGAUCUCAGCAAAGGCGUUAAGCUCGCCUGUGAAGAUUACAAUCGCAGACUUUACCUUGGCAAAGCUCAAGUCUGUAGCUCGCCGUCUCGUGCUCGUACCAGAACUCCAUCAACCAUCAUCUUCUCCACGAAGGAAACAGCUUCAGCAUCUCCUAAAGAAGAGACAGAGUGAGAGAAAGUUGAGAGGAGUUACAGAAACCGUGUAUGUUGUUGUCCGGAUCAUGUCAUGACUAUAGAGAAAGAGCUGCACAAGCUUCAGUGUUCUCCGUCGACGAGCUUGAGGUUUAACUUCUACACUAAGACGUAAAGAAGGCUCCGCGUCUUUAAGUCCCACCACGAGAGGCGUAAGAGACAUGGCUUUACCUGCAUCUAUGUGUGCUUCAAGCUCUGAAAGGAAUAGAAGAAAACAGAGGAGCGUGUGAUAGACCACGAUGAGCUCGGUCUCUUUAUGCUCAUCUCAUGAUCAUCAACACCAUCAACGCGCAUCCCCGAGCUUGACGUUGUCAAGAUCACGUCUUAGCCUCUUCGUUGGAUUCGGAUCACGUUAUCUUCGCAUUGAUUAGAGCUCCAGACUUGUUCUCAACAAACUCAAGGCUUGUUCCCGGCGAAGAUCAAAACGACCCAUUGAGGCAGAGCUCACCACCAGAAGGCUGCUUGCGAGAUGUUGGAUCCUGCAGAGAUGAGGACGUGACGUUGGCUUGUCGACUAGAAGGCUCAAUCUUUCACACUCCAUCAGUGGAAAGAGCUCAUCAUGAGAUCAUCUCAAAACCAUCCUUCUUCAGGGACAAGCAGCAACUACUUGUCCUCAAAGAUAAGUAUUCUAUAAUUUUGAUUGCUUUACUGGUUGCCACCUGUGCAUGCUGUUUAGUUAUAAAUAAAUUACUAACAUCGUAUGCAAGAGCUGAGCAAUUAUCUGAUCAUCAUCAUUUCUUGCUUAUCGAUUACACAAAACUUUGAUUAUCUUUUUUGAAUAAACUUGAUUGGAUGAUAAUCAUCAUAUUUUUCUUUGUGCGCCAGAAUCAAUUGCGAGGCAGACAUAUGACGAGCUCAGACUCCGGUACAAGCUCUAGCUGACGUGAUCACGGUCCGCACAACUCCUGCUGACUUCAUCGUCGCCAAUCAUGAGCUCACCACAGCCCUCGCAACUCCACAGUGCGUUCAUCAAGGCUAUCAUAGCCUGACAAGCAUACACGCCAACAACUUGCUCGGCACACACGAUCUCAACACGAGACUUCGGGUCGGCAAUAGUUCGCAUAAACACCAUUUUUGGAUCAAACAAGAUCGCUCUUGGACAUGUUUCUUGGAUGCCUCUGCAUAUUUAUUGCUGCAAGUGCAGUUUUCUUGUGGUGCAAGAAACAAAACAAGGAGGGAGAUAAUGAUUUGAAUAAGAAUAAGCAGAGCGACAUAAACUUUUAGACGCCAACAUCUUCUCCGUCCUCAUGGUUUGGUGGCAACACCCAAAGAGAGCUGGAGAGGGUCCCAAAGAGAGCUAGUGGCAAUAAUUGAUGUAAAUUAUUUGCAUCACUACUUUCAGAGUCACUUUUUUAAGUGAUGUAAAAAAAUUUUACAUCAUUUAUAACUAAUGCAGAUAUUCAAAAUAAAUGAUGUAAGACUAUUUUUUUUGUAGUGAUAGUACAAGCCACCAAUGUUCACUUCGGCUAUAAACCUAAUUUAAAGAGUAAGUCUAUUUUUCUUUCUUUCUUUAUAAUCUAAAGAGCAAGUCAUAUACACAAUCACAUCAGGGGUGAAGCUACUAUGAUAGUGUUGGGUGCACUUGCACCCAUAAUUUCUGAAAAUGAGAUUUGUUUAAGUAAUUUGAUGGUAUUUGGACAAAAUGGUUAAAGGUGCA